rnacentral:rRNA from 1 species
GAUGAACGCUGGCGGCGUGCCUAAUACAUGCAAGUCGAGCGAACGGACGAGAAGCUUGCUUCUCUGAUGUUAGCGGCGGACGGGUGAGUAACACGUGGAUAACCUACCUAUAAGACUGGGAUAACUUCGGGAAACCGUAGCUAAUACCGGAUAAUAUUUUGAACCGCAUGGUUCAAAAGUGAAAGACGGUCUUGCUGUCACUUAUAGAUGGAUCCGCGCUGCAUUAGCUAGUUGGUAAGGUAACGGCUUACCAAGGCAACGAUGCAUAGCCGACCGGAGAGGGUGAUCGGCCGCACUGGAGCUGAGACACGGUCCAGACUCCUACGGGAGGCAGCAGUAGGGAAUCUUCCGCAAUGGGCGGAAGCCUGACGGAGCAACGCCGCGUGAGUGAUGAAGGUCUUCGGAUCGUAAAACUCUGUUAUUAGGGAAGAACAUAUGUGUAAGUAACUGUGCACAUCUUGACGGUACCUAAUCAGAAAGCCACGGCUAACUACGUG